rnacentral:misc_RNA from 1 species
UUUCCGUAGGUGAACCUGCGGAAGGAUCAUUACUGAGUGAGGGCCCCUCGGGGUCCAACCUCCUACCCGUGUUUAACGAACCUUGUUGCUUCGGCGGGCCCGCCUCACGGCCGCCGGGGGGCAUCUGCCCCCGGGCCCGCGCCCGCCGAAGCCACCUGUGAACGCUGUCUGAAGUAUGCAGUCUGAGACAAUUAUUAAAUUAAUUAAAACUUUCAACAACGGAUCUCUUGGUUCCG